GCAGCGGCGUCUGUGCGGCGGUCACCGGCCGGGCCGGCCCGGGGGACGCCUCCACCUGCAGGCUCUGCUCAGGGUCGUCGCUCAUGCUGCGGGCGGGCAAGAGGGCGGCGUGAGCGAGCCUCCGGCGGCAGGCUGAGAGCUGGCAAGGAGGGAGAGCCCAGCGAGCUGCCCCGGACCCCGGCUCGCCUGCAAGUUGCGGUCUAUGAGCUGGUUGGUUUCGAAGUCGUCGUCAUCCUCACCGAAGGGAUUGAUGAUCUGUUCUGCUACCUACGGGCGAGGUGGAAUCGGAGCUACCGCUGCCGGCCUACGCCACAGCCACAGCAAUGCGGG